rnacentral:rRNA from 1 species
UGGCGGACGGGUGAGUAAUGUCUGGGAAACUGCCUGAUGGAGGGGGAUAACUACUGGAAACGGUAGCUAAUACCGCAUAACGUCGCAAGACCAAAGAAGGGGGCCUUCGGGCCUCUUGCCAUCGGAUGUGCCCAGAUGGGAUUAGCUAGUAGGUGGGGUAACGGCUCACCUAGGCGACGAUCCCUAGCUGGUCUGAGAGGAUGACCAGCCACACUGGAACUGAGACACGGUCCAG